UAACACUUACAUAUAUGUGCAUGACCACACAGGAACCCAUCUAGACUUCAAAAUCUUUAACCAUCACGAGUGAACGAGAACGAUUCAAGUUUUCUCAUUUGAAGACUCCAGGUGCUGUUUUUGUUUGGAGCAGUUUUGAUAAAGUUGAAUUACUCAUUUACAGUAACUUCAUCUUUGUCUUCUUGUUUGACUAUUGUUUUAUUUAGUCUCAGGGAGAUUUAUUAAUCUGAAUACAUCUACCGACGUACACAUGGAUCGAUUCUGCAGUACAAUCUUUCUUCUUCUCGUCAGAGACAGUUUUGCUCUGAGGGGGGUUUAUUAUUCAAGACCCACUCUGUGCCCAACUUAGGCAUGGAUCGACUGUGCAGUAUUAUCCUUGUUCUUUUACACACAGCAGGAGCUUUCAGUAUUGCCCUUGAAGAGAAAGAAACGAACGUCCAUCAGGAACCAAGGCACAUUAAAGUUUGUAAAGGAGCCUCAGUCACAAUGAAGUGCACUUUUCAGCCGAAUGAAAACUACAAAGUGAGCUGGCACUACAGCCAGACAGCUAUUUCAGACUGUAAAUCAGCUUCCAAGAUACCUGAAGAACAGCGUUUUUUAAAAAAGAAAAAAGACGAUUGGUCAACACUCAACAUUACUUUUAUCAAAGCCAAUGAGAGUGGAUGGUACUUCUGCCUGGUCACACAAGACAUCCCAACUCUCAUACAAAACUGCAGUAAUGGAACACAAGUUAUAGUCGGUAAGUAG
ensembl:lncRNA